rnacentral:rRNA from 1 species
CCUACGGGAGGCAGCAGUGGGGAAUAUUGGACAAUGGGCGAAAGCCUGAUCCAGCCAUGCUGCGUGUGUGAAGAAGGCCUUCGGGUUGUAAAGCACUUUCAGUGGGGAAGAAAGCCUUGGGGCUAAUACCCUCGAGGAAGGACAUCACCCACAGAAGAAGCACCGGCUAACUCCGUGCCAGCAGCCGCGGUAAUACGGAGGGUGCGAGCGUUAAUCGGAAUUACUGGGCGUAAAGCGCGCGUAGGCGGUCUGAUAAGCCGGUUGUGAAAGCCCCGGGCUCAACCUGGGAACGGCAUCCGGAACUGUCAGGCUAGAGUGCAGGAGAGGAAGGUAGAAUUCCCGGUGUAGCGGUGAAAUGCGUAGAGAUCGGGAGGAAUACCAGUGGCGAAGGCGGCCUUCUGGACUGACACUGACGCUGAGGUGCGAAAGCGUGGGUAGCAAACAGGAUUAGAUACCCUAGUAGUC